rnacentral:rRNA from 1 species
GACGAACGCUGGCGGCGUGCUUAACACAUGCAAGUCGAACGGAAAGGCCCUGCUUUUGUGGGGUGCUCGAGUGGCGAACGGGUGAGUAACACGUGAGUAACCUGCCCUUGACUUUGGGAUAACUUCAGGAAACUGGGGCUAAUACCGGAUAGGAGCUCCUGCUGCAUGGUGGGGGUUGGAAAGUUUCGGCGGUUGGGGAUGGACUCGCGGCUUAUCAGCUUGUUGGUGGGGUAGUGGCUUACCAAGGCUUUGACGGGUAGCCGGCCUGAGAGGGUGACCGGCCACAUUGGGACUGAGAUACGGCCCAGACUCCUACGGGGGGCAACAGUGGGAAAUAUUGCACAAUGGGCGGAAGCCUGAUGCAGCAACGCCGCGUGCGGGAUGACGGCCUUCGGGUUGUAAACCGCUUUCGCCUGUGACGAAGCGUGAGUGACGGUAAUGGGUAAAGAAGCACCGGCUAACUACGUG